UCUCUGUGUGCCUAGGUAUCCACCCAGCAGCCGCGGUAAUACGUUCCCGGGCCUUGUACACACCGCCCGUCACAUCACGAAAGUCGGUUGCACUAGAAGUCGGUGGGCUAACCCGCAAGGGAGGCAGCCGCCUAAAGUGUGAUCGGUAAUUGGGGUGAAGUCGUAACAAGGUAGCUGUAGGAGAACCUGCGGCUGGAUCACCUCCUUUCUAAGGAGCAUCUCCGCCUGGGAUCAAAACCAGGUCGUGACGAAGCACCUAGGUCGAAAGGAAUCGCAGUAACGUUUCCUCUUUGUCUUUCCUCUUCAGUUUUCAGGGCAUCGGCCCGUCGUUUCUUUGACAAUUGAAUACGGGUAAAGAUAAAGAAUGCACACUGACGUUUUUAAGACGUCAGGAAUGCAGAUCGCAUGAGAUCAAGGCACUUUAUGGUCAAGUUACUAAGGGUUGA
rnacentral:misc_RNA from 1 species